rnacentral:lncRNA from 1 species
AGAUGGUGUGGCCAAUGGGAAGAAGGAGGAAGGAGAAAAGAAGUUGCAGACCUGAGGCACUGACCCAGGUAUCCUUAACUGGGUCAGCAACAGUUCAGGGACAGAUUAGAGCUAUACCCUUAGCAAAGGGUCUCCCUGUGUAGUUCAGGCUGCUUUGGACUCAUCAGCCUCCCGAGUGCUGGGAUUACAGGCAAGCACCACCACACCCAGCCAUGUUCUGCCACUCUGACAGAAGUUGGACCUCACUUCCCUUGGUAACCCCGAGAGUCUACACCUGAAACCACAGUGUCAGGCUGAUCAUGGACGCUCAGGAUUGAACUUUUCUGAGAAAGAUGUACGUGUCCAUCAUGCAGAGUCCUGUUGCAGCAAAGAGACAUCCAAGUACAUGAACUAUACACAUUGAAUCUCUUAAAACAUCACUAUGUUUCAUACAUGCUUAAUGUUGCCAACUCUGGGAUGAAAGGCAGAAUUGAAAAGAUCGUGUUAUUUCAUAUUUGUGUUAGCUGUACCAGUGGGUGCCCAAUAAAUAUCAUCUCC